rnacentral:lncRNA from 1 species
UUCUUUGCAUGGUUUAGGAAACAACCUAUCCUUAAUGCAAAGUCAUUCACUUGAUCAAUUGAUCAAGAUGAAUUAGAUUUGAAUCAAGGAAUAUUAAGCCUCCCCAAUCAAUCCUAACUUAUCAACCUUCAACUCAUAGAUCAAAAAGAAAAAGAAAAAAAAGAAGAAGGAGAUGAACAAUGGAAAAGGAAAUGGAAAGAAUAAAGUGCAUUAAAUGAAAUAAAAUGUACCAAUCAACAAGGGUUGACCAAUGACAUUGAGGAUCAUGGUCAA